AUGAAGACAUCCAUGGGAGCUUUAAUGAUGUUCUUGUGGCUGCAGCUGAACUGGUUCAGCCAAGGAAAGAAUGUGGAGCAGCAUCCUUCUACCCUGAGUGUCCAGGAGGGAGGCAGCUCUGUUAUCAACUGCAGUUAUUCCGAUGGUGGCUCAGACUACUUCCCCUGGUAUAAGCAAGAACUUGGAAAAGGUCCCCAGCUCCUUAUAUACAUUCGUUCAAGCAUGGCUACAAAAGAAGACCAAAGACUCACUGUCUCAUUGAAUGAGACGGCCAAACGUUUCUCCCUGCACAUCAGAGACACCCAGCCUGAAGACUCAGCUGUGUACUUCUGCGCAGCAAGCAAUGGCUAUAACUGGCAACUGUCAUGGUGA